AUUGAACGCUGGCGGCAGGCCUAACACAUGCAAGUCGAGCGAGCGGCGGACGGGUGAGUAAGGUAUGGGGAUCUGCCCGAUAGAGGGGGAUAACUACUGGAAACGGUGGAUAAUACCGCAUACUAUCGGAGGAACCCAAAGGGGAUUAGCUAGGAGGGGGGGUAAAGGCUCACCUAGGCGAAGAGCCCUGGCUGGUCUGAGAGGAGGAUCAGCCAACCUGGGACUGAAACACGGCCCAGACUCCUACGGGAGGCAGCAGUGGUGAAUAUUGCACAAUGGGCGCAAGCCUGAUGCAGCCAUGCCGCGUGUAUUAAGAAGGCCUUAGGGUUGUAAAGUACUUUCAGCGGGGAGGCGUUACCCGCAGAAGAAGCACCGGCUAACUCCGUGCCAGCAGCCGCGGUAAUAC
rnacentral:rRNA from 1 species